rnacentral:rRNA from 1 species
UGGGGAAUAUUGGACAAUGGGCGCAAGCCUGAUCCAGCCAUGCCGCGUGAGUGACGAAGGCCUUAGGGUUGUAAAACUCUUUCGUCGGGGACGAUAAUGACGGUACCCGAAGAAGAAGCUCCGGCUAACUUCGUGCCAGCAGCCGCGGUAAUACGAAGGGAGCUAGCGUUGUUCGGAAUCACUGGGCGUAAAGCGCACGUAGGCGGAUAGUUAAGUCAGGGGUGAAAUCCUGGGGCUCAACCCCAGAACUGCCUUUGAUACUGGCUGUCUCGAGGUCGAGAGAGGUUGGUGGAAUUCCUAGUGUAGAGGUGAAAUUCGUAGAUAUUAGGAAGAACACCAGUGGCGAAGGCGGCCAACUGGCUCGAUACUGACGCUGAGGUGCGAAAGCGUGGGGAGCAAACAGGAUUAGAUACCCUUGUAGUCCCUGAGCGGGCUGGCAAGGCGCAU